rnacentral:lncRNA from 1 species
AUGUGCUGUAAGGUACCAAGCAAAAGAAAUGUAAGGCAUUGGCUUUUUCGGGUAGCCUCGUUUUUCAGGUGGGGAAAACGAGGCACCCACAGCUCCCACGCUCUACCAAAGUCCUUGCACUGUGCGGAGGAAAGCAGAGGCCAGAAGUUUAGAACAUCUUCCCUGCAUGGGAGAAAGGCCUCCUUUGCUGCCAAGAAGCUUUCAGAAAUUUGGAACAUCUUUCUCAAAUACACCCUUCUCCACCUCAUCCCAGAUGAAACCUGGAUUUCCCCUGAUGACAUCAUUUUUCCUAUAAUCCGCAAGGUGAGUCUUCUCAUUCCCCACACACCCUUUCCCCAGCACCUUAGAGUUAGGAUAAUUGUGGCUGUGAAAUCUAUCCACCUUUGUCCAAUAACACCUUCUCCCCUCAUUGUCAGUUUUACAUACCCAACUAAGUCUUGAUACCUGUCCACUUAGAGUUGUCCUCUGCAUUGUUGGGGAGCAUCACUACUAUUGUGAAAUUUUAAAAUAAAGCCCUGCCACCCCCUUGGAGCAUGCAUGCUACAUGGAGUCGCCCAUGUGAAGAGCCACUCCACAGUAAUGAACACUUGGGAAUUUGCAGUGUGUGUGCUUGUAUCUUUCUAUUUGAAGAUCACUUUGAAAACAGAUCUUGUUUGCUUAGUCUCUGUCUCCUGGAUGUGUAUAACAUGGCUCAGCUGGUUGACAAUCACCUCAGUUUUAGUUGCUUGAAGAAAGCCACUUCUCUCUUUGAGGUGUUUCCCCAAAGCAGAAUUGAAAAAAAAUGCCCCACCAAUGAAUUUUAAUGAAUCCAGAGUAUUCCAUAAUACUCCACAAUUCCCCAAUAAGUGGACACUUGAGUCACUUCAAAUUUUUCAUGUAAACACCACAGUAGCAAUCAUCAUGGAAACAUAACUUUGCAUAAUGUGUCUGGUUAUUUUCUUAGAAGAAAUUUCCAGAAGUAAGACAUGGGGUCAAAGUCUUUGAAUGUUUAUAGCUUCUGACAAAUAUUGACACCUUGCUUUCUAGAGUGGUUGUAACAGUUUACACUCCAUCAGCCCUGGUGGAGUGUCUCACCACACCCUUUUUUUUCUAUGUAAUCUUUUAAACAAAUCUUUGCAGAGCAACCACCCAGACUGGAGC